rnacentral:rRNA from 1 species
UCGGUGGGAUACUACCCUGGCUGUAUUGAAAUUCUAACCCGCACCCCUUAUCGGGGUGGGAGACAGUGUCAGGUGGGCAGUUUGACUGGGGCGGUCGCCUCCUAAAGAGUAACGGAGGCGCCCAAAGGUUCCCUCAGAAUGGUUGGAAAUCAUUCGUAGAGUGUAAAGGCACAAGGGAGCUUGACUGCGAGACCUACAAGUCGAGCAGGGACGAAAGUCGGGCUUAGUGAUCCGGUGGUUCCGCAUGGAAGGGCCAUCGCUCAACGGAUAAAAGCUACCCCGGGGAUAACAGGCUUAUCUCCCCCAAGAGUCCACAUCGACGGGGAGGUUUGGCACCUCGAUGUCGGCUCAUCGCAUCCUGGGGCUGUAGUCGGUCCCAAGGGUUGGGCUGUUCGCCCAUUAAAGCGGUACGCGAGCUGGGUUCAGAACGUCGUGAGACAGUUCGGUCCCUAUCCGUCGUGGGCGCAGGAAAUUUGAGAGGAGCUGUCCUUAGUACGAGAGGACCGGGAUGGACGCACCGCUGGUGUACCAGUUGUCUUGCCAAAGGCAUCGCUGGGUAGCUAUGUGCGGACGGGAUAAGUGCUGAAAGCAUCUAAGCAUGAAGCCCCCCUCAAGAUGAGAUUUCCC